rnacentral:snRNA from 1 species
AGUUGCAUGAUUCUCCUUUAAUGACAUCUAUUACCACAUUGAUCGCCAGGGUUGAUUGGGCUGAUCUGGCUUGUUAGGGUGUGUCUGCUUAGUUACUCACUGCUCUGUGUGCAUUCCUCCUGAGGAUGUGCUCUCAGUUGAAGAGGAUAGCCUUCCCUGAAUAGAGGAUAAGUGUUCCUCUGUUAAGUUUAUAUGAAUGGCUGCUCUCUCCUAAUAGAACCUCCAAACAAGUUUUCCUGUGUACUCUUAGGAGAAUUUAUAAUUGUUUUGUUUUGAAAUUAUAAUGUAAUUUUUCAUU